rnacentral:rRNA from 1 species
UGAUGGCCAGGCUGUCUCCACCCGAGACUCAGUGAAAUUGAACUCGCUGUGAAGAUGCAGUGUACCCGCGGCAAGACGGAAAGACCCCGUGAACCUUUACUAUAGCUUGACACUGAACAUUGAGCCUUGAUGUGUAGGAUAGGUGGGAGGCUUUGAAGUGUGGACGCCAGUCUGCAUGGAGCCGACCUUGAAAUACCACCCUUUAAUGUUUGAUGUUCUAACGUUGACCCGUAAUCCGGGUUGCGGACAGUGUCUGGUGGGUAGUUUGACUGGGGCGGUCUCCUCCUAAAGAGUAACGGAGGAGCACGAAGGUUGGCUAAUCCUGGUCGGACAUCAGGAGGUUAGUGCAAUGGCAUAAGCCAGCUUGACUGCGAGCGUGACGGCGCGAGCAGGUGCGAAAGCAGGUCAUAGUGAUCCGGUGGUUCUGAAUGGAAGGGCCAUCGCUCAACGGAUAAAAGGUACUCCGGGGAUAACAGGCUGAUACCGCCCAAGAGUUCAUAUCGACGGCGGUGUUUGGCACCUCGAUGUCGGCUCAUCACAUCCUGGGGCUGAAGUAGGUCCCAAGGGUAUGGCUGUUCGCCAUUUAAAGUGGUACGCGAGCUGGGUUUAGAACGUCGUGAGACAGUUCGGUCCCUAUCUGCCGUGGGCGCUGGAGAACUGAGGGGGGCUGCUCCUAGUACGAGAGGACCGGAGUGGACGCAUCACUGGUGUUCGGGUUGUCAUGCCAAU